AAGAUUAAGCCAUGCAUGUCUCAGUACAAACUAUCCUAAAGUGAAACCGCGAAUGGCUCAUUAUAUCAGCUAUGAUCUACUUGAUCUAUACACAGUUUGUCUUACUUGGAUAACUGUGUCAAUUCUAGAGCUAAUACAUGCACAUAUAGUCCCUGACCUAACGGGAAGGGCGCUUUUAUUAGUAUCACAAAAAAACCGGUGAAACAUGACUUUGGUCUGUAAAAAAACUGAAUUGUGAUGACUCUGGAUAACUUUUAGCUGAGCGCAUGGUCUUUGCACCAGUGCUGCUUCUUUCAAGUGUCUGCCUUAUCAGCUUUCGAUUGUAUGUUAUAUGCAUACAAUGGCUAUAACGGGUAACGGGGAAUCAGGGUUCGAUUCCGGAGAGGGAGCCUGAGAAACAGCUACCACAUCCAAGGAAGGCAGCAGGCACGCAAAUUACCCACUCCCGGCAUGGGGAGGUAGUGACGAAAAAUAAUGAUGGAAGACUCAUCCGAGGCCUUUCAAUCAGAAUGAGUACACUUUAAAUCCUUUAACCAGGACCAAUUGGAGGGCAAGUCUGGUGCCAGCAGCCGCGGUAAUUCCAGCUCCAAUGGCGUAUAUUAAAGUUGUUGCGGUUAAAAAGCUCGUAGUUGGGCCAAAAAGUUAUGGACUGAUGGAAUUACACCUAGUUGUGUAAUAUAUCACGCUCCAAAAACCGCUUAAACAACGUAAAGGUUGUGUGGCUCCACUGGCUCACACUGGAUGCUCUUGACCGAGUGUCCAGAGUGGCUUGUAUGUUUACUUUGAAAAAAUUAGAGUGCUUAAAGCAGGCUAAAUAAUGCCUGAAUGGUGAUGCAUGGCAUAAAGAAAGAUGAUCUUGGAUCCAGUUAACUGGUUUUCUAUGGAAUCUAAGAUAAUGACUAAUAGGAAUAAGUGGGGGCACUUGUACUGUGACGCUAGAGGUGAAAUUCUUGGACCGUCACAAGACAAACAAAAGCGAAAGCAUUUGCCAAGGAUGUUUUCAUUAAUCAAGAACGAAAGUUAGAGGUUCGAAGGCGAUCAGAUACCGCCCUAGUUCUAACCAUAAACUAUGCUAACCAGCAAUCCGAUGGUGUUAUAACAAUGACCCAUCGGGCAGCUUCUGGGAAACCAAAGUCUUUGAGUUCCGGGGGAAGUAUGGUUGCAAAGCUGAAACUUAAAGGAAUUGACGGAAGGGCACCACCAGGAGUGGAGCCUGCGGCUUAAUUUGACUCAACACGGGAAACCUCACCAGGCCCAGACACUGGAAGGAUUGACAGAUUGAGAGCUCUUUCUCGAUUCAGUGGGUGGUGGUGCAUGGCCGUUCUUAGUUGGUGGAGUGAUUUGUCUGGUUAAUUCCGAUAACGAACGAGACUCUGGCCUAUUAACUAGUCGACGGAUUUCCAUAUAUUGGUGUCCAGUUCGCAACUUCUUCUUAGAGGGAUAAGCGGUAUGUCCUAGCCGCAUGAGAUUGAGCAAUAACAGGUCUGUGAUGCCCUUAGAUGUUCUGGGCCGCACGCGCGCUACACUGAAGGGAUCAGAGUGUUUUCCCCCUCCGAGAGGAGCGGGUAACCAGAUGAACCCCCUUCGUGAUAGGGAUUGGGGCUUGCAAUUGUUUCCCAUGAACGAGGAAUUCCCAGUAAGCGCAAGUUAUCAGCUUGCGUUGAUUAAGUCCCUGCCCUUUGUACACACCGCCCGUCGCUACUACCGAUUGGAUGAUUUAGUGAGGACUUUGGACUGUCGCUCUUGGAUUUGCUGGCUUUUAAAAGUCACAUAUAGUAAGUACCUAGAGCUGACGGAAAGAUGUCCAAACUUGAUCAUCUAGAGGAAGUAAAAGUCGUAACAAGGUUUCC
rnacentral:rRNA from 1 species